AGUGUACGCAGCCCAGUGUCCGUCUGUGUCUUGUCGUGGGCGUGACGUUCAGCAGCGGCAGGAACAGCAACGGGAACCUUGAUCUGCGUGGGUUUUCGUGCGGCGGGGUGACGUGCCGCUGCUGUGAGGUUAUCGGACCACACCACACCACACCACAGCACAGCACAGAGGAAGGAGAGGCGUUGACGAUCCAAAGGCCUGACUCCACAGCGGUAAUGAGCCUCGUCUACCUUGCAUUUAACGGACAAUGCUCACUACCACCUCUGCCUCCGCCACCGCCACUGCCGCCGUUGAGGGAGACUGGCUGGAUGAGUGGGUGAUAGAGGCGAGGCAGGUGUGGUGAGGCGGAGGAUUGGAGACGAGAACCUACAGAUGACGGCAGACACGGAAGAUUCCACUUACCAGGAGUUGGUGAUCUGAAGCCAUGACUGCAGCGAUCCCAUGCGUCCUGCACCAUCAGGGAAGGACUCUUUGGCUUCGCACUGCGCCUACAUUGACCGUUGCCACUGCCGCUGCUACCGCUACUCGGAGGGGCACUGCCUCGCAUUGGGCCUUCACUGCCGUCCCGCUAAUACACGUGCCGCCGUCGCCGCUACUGGCACUGAGGGACUUCGCCUCGCAGCGGCCUGGCAAACACCUGCUACACCACCACCACUAACUCCGCCGCCACCACCGCAGUCCAGAGAGAUUCAGCUUCGCAUAGCAGACAUCCUCCUAUUCAACGCUUGCUACCACUACCACCUCAUUAUUGUGGUGUCACUGUACUUGAAGCUUGGAUCUGUUGUCACUACUGAAUAAUAAAGUGUAAAGAUAUC
rnacentral:lncRNA from 1 species